rnacentral:pre_miRNA from 1 species
CUGUAGUGCAUUGCAGUUGCAUUGCGUGUAUCUGUCUGGUGCAAUGCCCCAGCAAUGCAGUACAG